GCACUGCUGGUGAGUCCCACAAUAGGACGAAACGGCCGUCCAGUGC
rfam:Schistosoma mattheei strain Denwood, Zambia genome assembly, scaffold: SMTD_scaffold0002113